rnacentral:rRNA from 1 species
UCGAAGAUUAAGCCAUGCAUGUGUAAGUAUAAAUAGUUAACUUUGAAACUGCGAAUGGCUCAUUAUAUCAGUUAUAGUUUAUUUGAUGAAGAAUACUAAUUGGAUAACCGUAGUAAUUCUAGAGCUAAUACAUGUAUAAAGUCUUGUAGACUGCAUUUAUUAGAAUGAAAACCAUAGGUUUCGGCCUAUUCGUGAGUAAUAAUAACUAAUCAUAUCGUAUGCUUAUGUAACGAUGUGUCUUUCAAGUUUCUGCCCUAUCAGCUUUCGAUGGUAGUGUAUUG